rnacentral:rRNA from 1 species
GUGCUAAUACCGUAUAACAAUCGAAACCGCAUGGUUUUGAUUUGAAAGGCGCUUUCGGGUGUCGCUGAUGGAUGGACCCGCGGUGCAUUAGCUAGUUGGUGAGGUAACGGCUCACCAAGGCCACGAUGCAUAGCCGACCUGAGAGGGUGAUCGGCCACAUUGGGACUGAGACACGGCCCAAACUCCUACGGGAGGCAGCAGUAGGGAAUCUUCGGCAAUGGACGAAAGUCUGACCGAGCAACGCCGCGUGAGUGAAGAAGGUUUUCGGAUCGUAAAACUCUGUUUUUUUUUUUUUUUCAAGGAUGAGAGUAACUGUUCAUCCCUUGACGGUAUCUAACCAGAAAGCCACGGCUAACUACGUGCCAGCAGCCGCGGUAAUACGUAGGUGGCAAGCGUUGUCCGGAUUUAUUGGGCGUAAAGCGAGCGCAGGCGGUUUCUUAAGUCUGAUGUGAAAGCCCCCGGCUCAACCGGGGAGGGUCAUUGGAAACUGGGAGACUUGAGUGCAGAAGAGGAGAGUGGAAUUCCAUGUGUAGCGGUGAAAUGCGUAGAUAUAUGGGAGGAACACCAGUGGCGAAGGCGGCUCUCUGGUCUGUAACUGACGCUGAGGCUCGAAAGCGUGGGGAGCAAACA